rnacentral:rRNA from 1 species
CUACGUGCCAGCAGCCGCGGUAAUACGUAGGUGGCAAGCGUUGUCCGGAAUUAUUGGGCGUAAAGCGCGCGCAGGUGGAUCAGUCAGUCUGUCUUAAAAGUUCGGGGCUUAACCCCGUGAUGGGAUGGAAACUGCUGAUCUAGAGUAUCGGAGAGGAAAGUGGAAUUCCUAGUGUAGCGGUGAAAUGCGUAGAUAUUAGGAAGAACACCAGUGGCGAAGGCGACUUUCUGGACGAAAACUGACGCUGAGGCGCGAAAGCCAGGGGAGCGAACGGGAUUAGAUACCCCGGUAGUCCUGGCCGUAAACGAUGGGUACUAGGUGUAGGAGGUAUCGACCCCUUCUGUGCCGGAGUUAACGCAAUAAGUACCCCGCCUGGGGAGUACGACCGCAAGGUUGAAACUCAAAGGAAUUGACGGGGGCCCGCACAAGCGGUGGAGUAUGUGGUUUAAUUCGACGCAACGCGAAGAACCUUACCAGGUCUUGACAUUGAUGGACAGAACUAGAGAUAG